UAAAAUAUAAUUAAAAGUCGACUAUAAAUAAAAUAAAAAACUGUACCAAAUAUUAUGAAUGUUUAUAAAAAUAAAGGGGCCGGCCCAGUGAAAAUAUUGUGUAACGAAUAUUGACAAAAUGAUAAUACAUAAUAGGUACCUAAUGAAGACUUAUUUAUAAGCUACGAGUUAAAAUGACCGAGCUAAAAAUGAUCUUAUAUUAAGACAAUGACUAUGACUAAACUUAUGAUUAUGAACUAUGAGUAUGUAACGGAUAUCUGAUAAGGAUAAGGCUUAUUGAGGCAAGAUUUUAAGUGUGAAAUCUUAUGAGUAACUGUGAUGCUAAUCAAUAUGAAUAUGAAGUAACUAAUAUCAUAA